rnacentral:lncRNA from 1 species
GUCAGGCUUCUAACUGGGUCAACCUGAGUGCUGCUCCAGCUCAGGGUACUAUGCCUGGUAAGUGCUGCCCAGAGCUCCUUGGGAGGGGCAAGGCAAGAGACAUGUGAGCACAGUCUGAGGGACAUAUGGGCAGUUUAUUCUUUGAUGUCCUUGGAAGAGUGGUCAUAAUUUGCGUGAUAUAAGCCAACAACCAAGAUAGAUAAGCCUCAGGAGAGCUAAGGUCAUUUCAACUAACAAAUCACUUGCUCCAUAGUGGAGAAAGCAAACUACAGAUCCAUACACAAACAUGGUAAGUUCAUGGGAAAAGAUUUUAAGUCAGUUCUCUCUCUCCCUGUCCUUUACAUCUCUCUCUCUUUCUCUCUGUCAUUUACAUCUGGGGGAACCUUUGCCAGGUAACUGAAUAACACAAAGCAGCAUCUAGGAGAAUGGCUUCUUUCUUAAGCACACCCAACAUGAUGAGAUUACCUAGAGAUGAGUGCUUCUUUUGUGGGGAGAAUUUGAUCUGUGCACCAUUACAAACCAGGCUUGGGGGAAGCCAAGCCCACAAUCAGAAUGUAAUUGAAGUAUGUUACCUAUAAUAGGUUCAGAUGUUUGUGAUCUUCAGCACUUUAUGAAUUCUGCAGCAGAUGGGCGAGGGCCAGGUAGCAGGCAAGAACAGACUGGGUUAGGCAGGCUGGCACUCUGACAAGGGCAGCCACAGCUGUGGUUCGGGUGUUAUUCAGCACGCCCACCCACCGCACCAGCAGCCUGUCUUCCCCAGCUCACAGCCACGGCCGCCUUAAUGAAGAGUGGAGGUAACCAAAAUAUAACACCUGUCUCACAAGCUGUUUGCUUCAUGAAAUAAGAUGAGAAAACAGAAGACAAAGAAUGUAAACAGUUUGCCCAAGAAUCUAGCCAAGAAGUGGUGGACCUAGAUGGAACAAUGCCAGCUCUAAAGCACACACUUGGAUCUACUGACUCCUAAAGGUCCCCGGGUCCUUACCUACAAUUCCAAACUCCAAAAAGCUCUGAAAACCACAAGUUCUUCUAACUUAUUUAACAGUAGACCUGGAUUUGACCUGAAUUAUUCAGCAGCAAAAAGUCUUCUGAACUGACUUGAGGUUACUUCUAGUUUUUAUUUGUCCCAUUUGAUGUAAAUACUCAUACAUUUUCACAGAAAAAUAUAUCAGUUUGCUUGUUUGAUCGUGAGGUUCUGUCCCAAUUGCUGCUGGGAAAUUAAAUUAGAUAUUCUUUAUAAAAUUUGGACUUCCUGAAUUCUGAAACCCCUCUGGCUGCAAUCAUUUCUUUGUAGCUUUGUGGACCCAUGCUUUCUUUCCGGAGCGGACUCUCAACAGGAGUUUGAUGACACCAAGGUUGCUUUACAAUUCACAAAUGCAAUUAGUUUAUCUGUUUCUAAAUGUAUUUGUCUGGGCAUUCAUUUAACAGAUACUUACAGCAUGCCUGCUGUGUACUAAGUCCCAUUUUAGGCGCUGUAAGCAGAGUGAGCCAAAUACAUGUUUUCCUGGCCCACAUAAAGCUUAUAGUCUAAGAGAAAUAAUAACAGGGGAAAAUAAAAGGACAACAUAUUUUCACAAUAGGGUGCUAUGAACCAGAGUGGAUAAGGAUGCCCUGCAUUUUCCUAUGUCUCUAGGCACAUACAAUGGAAACUAGUAUAACCUUUAAUAAUGAAGAAAUAAAAGAAUUUGGGAGAAAAAAACAACAACCCAUAAUUAUUCUAAGAGAGUAGGAAACCGUGUGCCUUGAAAUAUUGCAGUAAUUAUCAGGUUAAAUUUCUAUGAUCGCUGCAAUUUCUAUGAAACCUAGAAAUGUUGGGAGCGUAGGCCUGGCAUAUCUCUUAAAGCAAAAUUAUACUUCUUUUUCAUUCAGACUAAAAGGUCAUAAUUAAAGAUAUAAUGAAGCUAAGUGAGUAAUGGGAUCUGCAAUUCACUGGGGAAGUGCAGGAUGCAUGAAGGCCUCCUCCUAUCCCUGAAUGGGGGUCACCAAGUCAGAUGGCCUUGGGAAUGCCACAGAGUCUAGAACCCUCA